AGCGCGCGUAGGCGGUUUUUUAAGUCUGAUGUGAAAGCCCACGGCUCAACCGUGGAGGGUCAUUGGAAACUGGAAAACUUGAGUGCAGAAGAGGAAAGUGGAAUUCCAUGUGUAGCGGUGAAAUGCGCAGAGAUAUGGAGGAACACCAGUGGCGAAGGCGACUUUCUGGUCUGUAACUGACGCUGAUGUGCGAAAGCGUGGGGAUCAAACAGGAUUAGAUACCCUGGUAGUCCACGCCGUAAACGAUGAGUGCUAAGUGUUAGGGGGUUUCCGCCCCUUAGUGCUGCAGCUAACGCAUUAAGCACUCCGCCUGGGGAGUACGACCGCAAGGUUGAAACUCAAAGGAAUUGACGGUGACCCGCACAAGCGGUGGAGCAUGUGGUUUAAUUCGAAGCAACGCGAAGAACCUUACCAAAUCUUGACAUCCUUUGACCGCUCUAGAGAUAGAGUUUUCCCCUUCGGGGGACAAAGUGACAGGUGGUGCAUAGUUGUCGUCAGCUCGUGUCGUGAGAUGUUGGGUUAAGUCCCGCAACGAGCGCAACCCUUAAGCUUAGUUGCCAUCAUUAAGUUGGGCACUCUAAGUUGACUGCCGGUGACAAACCGGAGGAAGGUGGGGAUGACGUCAAAUCAUCAUGCCCCUUAUGAUUUGGGCUACACACGUGCUACAAUGGACAAUACAAAGGGCAGCUAAACCGCGAGGUCAAGCAAAUCCCAUAAAGUUGUUCUCAGUUCGGAUUGUAGUCUGCAACUCGACUACAUGAAGCUGGAAUCGCUAGUAAUCGUAGAUCAGCAUGCUACGGUGAAUACGUUCCCGGGUCUUGUACACACCGCCCGUCACACCACGAGAGUUUGUAACACCCGAAGCCGGUGGAGUA
rnacentral:rRNA from 1 species